rnacentral:lncRNA from 1 species
CUGAACUAUUUAUCAAAGUGAACUAGAAAACCACACUUUUUUACCAAAGCAAACUGGACUAUUUAUCAAACUGAACUAUUUAACAAACUGAACUAUUUAUCAAACUAAACCAUUUAGCAAACCGAACUAUUUAGCAAACUGAAGUACAAAACCACACUUUUUUACCAAAAUAAACUGACCUAUUUAUCAAAGUGAACUAGAAAACCACACUUUUUUACCAAAACAAAUUGAACUAUUUAUCAAACUGAACUAUUUAUCAAACUGAAGUAGAAAACCACACAUUUUUACCAAAACAAACUGAACUAUUUAUCAAAGUUAACUAGAAAACCACACUUUUGUAUGAUAGCAAACUGAACUAUUUAUCAAAGUAAACUAGAAAACCACACUUUUUUACAAAUCAAACUGAACUAUUUAUCAAACUGAACUAUUUAGCAAACUGAACUAUUUAUCAAACUGAAGUAGAAAACCACACUUUUUAACCAAAACAAACUGAGCUAUUUAUCAAACUGAAUUAGAAAACCACACUCGUUCGUGAAUGCAUCCCAGAUUUUACUAUUUCCUUACAUUUCAAUUCUAUUUACAAAUGAAGCAAAUUGUAAACUAUUUCGUAAAAACUGUUUAUUAAACUUAAAAAUCGUGAACUAUUGUAAACACUGUCUAUUAAACUAAAACACCACCGGAAUAGAAUGUUGAUUAUAUUUAAGUUAUUUAAGCACAGAAAACAACAUACGAGGGCAAGAAAAUACUAUUUAAAGGUUAUAAGAAAACAAGCAGUUAUCAAAGUGAAGUAAAAAUAUACCAUUUUGCAAAAACAUUGCUAUUCGAAGCAUGCAAACUUACAUAUUACUAUAAAAUCACUGAAAAUAUCAGAAAUUUUGUGGUACGUACCUCUGUUUCUUCUCUGUUGCUUUUAUUUCCCAAUUUUUUUGUGUGUUUUCGUCUGGAUGCAAAUCAGAACUCUGAACUGGAAACAUAAUUCAUUUUUUAGAAUGUCAAACAUGCAAAUGCACAUAUUUAGUAAAUUAAAGUAAGAAAUCAUCAAGAAUAUCAGAAAUUAUAGGUUCGUACCUGUGUUUGUUCGAUUUCGACUCUGCAAACAUACAGUUCGAAUGUUUUCAGUUUUUCGUCUUCAAAUGGAGUUUUUGGGUUGAGAAAUUCCGGAUUUGAUGUGUAGAUUAUUGUUUGAAAACUUGAAUCGAACUUGAAAACGCUUUGAGAUCUUGACGUUUGGAGUAAUGGAGGUUUCGAUUUUUUGGUACGGUGUGAAGGGGUUGGUAAACAUUAAUGGCGUUGGGAGGGAUGAUGAAUUUUAGUAACUUCGGCUAACGGGCCUGGGUUAGGCUCCGUUAGGGGCAAUUUUGGAAUAUUAAUUGUUAUGCGGUGAUGCGAAAAUUAACUUAACACACAAAUUAAACCCUCUUGUUAUCAAUUGUAGUAAAGAAUGUAAGUAGGGAUCGUUCUAGGCCGGAGAUUAGGAGGGAUUGCUAAAACACCUGAAACUGACUUAAAAAUGUAGAAUUAAGUUACCAAACUAGACUCAAAAGAUGCAAUACAAACUAAAAAGACUCAAAACAGCUUAAAACAAUGAAUUAGACUCUAAACUGACUCAAGGGAUGAGUUUGGACGAAAUUAGGUUCUAACUUGACUCAAGACACUUAAAAACACAAAUCAAAAUAUAUUUUGACUAAUAAAACACUUUAAAGUAAAGGGGAUUGGAUUUUGACGAAUUUGAAAAAAAAAACAAACAGAUUGUAAGCUAAAACAGAUUUUGGACGAAUUUGGGUAAACUAUGGAUGAUGGGCUAGCUAGAUGGUUCCUCUCCACACAUGACACAGUUGCACAUAAACCAAUUUUCAGUUGUUCUUUCGAUGAAUAAUGAAACUCAACACCCCAUGUUAAUUAAGUCCGCUUAAAUUAACCUUCAAGUUCUUUUUAAGUUAUUGAAUUGGAUGGGAAAGUGCAUACAACAAUUCAAGCAUUCUUCAAAAGUCCUUUACGUGAACAACACAAUAAAAAAACAAUCAAAGAUCAUUAAGCAUUAUGAAAACUAUAAGUAUUGACGAGGCAUUCGUUACUAUGAUGAGCAUGAAACUCCUGUCAAGAAUUCAUUUAACGGGAUCAUUUAUAAGCGACCUCCACUACUUGUGAAUAUAAGUUUGUAACUAUUAGGUGAAACUCCCUUAUAUUCUAGCAUCAUAUUCAUGCAUGCAACUAAGUGUGCACUCUUAAUAAACAUACACGAAUAAGUUAACAAUCAAGCAGCUAAACAAAUUGAAUUCACAACUUGUGAAAUCACAACUGAAGGUAAUCAAUUCAUAUUGCAAGUAUGUUCAUGGCUUUGAAUUUCCUCCUAGCUAAGGGGGGUUUAGUUACUCAUAAUUGCAAUAAAAUAAGAAAAUAACAAAGUAGAUAUUGAAAGCAAGAACGAAGUACACCUAAAACGCUCCAAAGUUUCAAGCUUGCAACUCCAAGGACCUUCGUUUUCACCACCUUGUUGCAGCACAAGUAUCUAAUGAUGUGUAUGGAUUUAUGGAAAGGUUAUGAAUGUAUUUAGGUUGGAUGGAUGCCACGGCAAGGUUGAAGGGAAUGUAUGGAUUUUUGUUUGAUUUUUGGUUGGAUGAGUGUCACGGCAAGGGAAUGGAUUUGUAUGUGUUUGUGGGAUGUGGGAAUAUAUGGUUGAAUGUAAGGUGCUCACGGCUAGGGAAUUGGAAUUCUAGUUAUGGUGAAGGGUGGAUGUAUUUAUAGGCUAGGGAGAGGAUGUAGUGGGUGGUGGUAAUGAGUGGAUGUAGUGGUAGGUGAAUGUGUUGGGUGGUUGAAAUGAGUGGAUGUAGUGGUAGGUGAAUGUGUUGGGUGGUUGUAAUGAGUGGAUGUGUUGGGUGAAAUGAGUGGAUGUAGUGUUAGGUGAAUGGAUGUGUUGGGUGAAAUGAGUGGAUGUAGUGGUAGGUGAAUGUGUUGGGUGGUUGUAAUGAGUGGAUGUAGUUGUACGUGAAUGUGUUGGGUGGUUGUAAUGAGUGGAUGUGUUGGGUGGUUGUAAUGAGUGGAUGUGUUGGGUGAAAUGAGUGGAUGUAGUGGUAGGUGAAUGUGUUGGGUGGUUGUAAUGAGUGGAUGUGUUGGGUGAAAUGAGUGGAUGUAGUGGUAGGUGAAUGUGUUGGGUGAAAUGAGUGUGCUAAAAUGGUUAUUUAUAGGGAGUGGAUGAUGCACAAACUUCAAAUUUCAUCCAUUCCUUUUGCUCCAAGCAUAUGCUAUCCAUUCCAUGCCAAAAAAUGCUCGAAAAUGCUCCAAAAUGCACUUCUUUAACACAUUAACCCUUUGGACCUUCAAACACACGAAAAUAGCUUAAAAUACUAAAAUAACUACGAAAUAACAACAUAAAUGCCAAGAAACAAGCUAACUAAGUCGCAUAAAUAUGCUGCUAUCAAAUUCCCCCACACUUAGCUUUUGCUAGUCCUCGAGCAAAACAAAACAAACAAAACAAAACCAAACAAAACACAACCUAAACCUUCCAACAAUUGCCUCAGGGAUUUUUAAUGAAACAUGACAUGCCAAAGAUCAUCACUUACAUAGAUUUAAGCAAUCCAUACCCUCGAGCAUACUUAAUCAUAAUCACACUGGUUCACAUUUAAUCAAUUAAAACAACAUUUUGAAUGUAGUAACAUGCCUUAGAGAAUUCCCUCAAUUCCUUACUAGAUACUCUCUAUUUUCACACACAUUUUCUGAUUACACACCCUACACCAGUUAUAUGUGAGAAGAUUGAUGUAAACAUGAAAGACUAGUACUCACAUAUGUUACAACAAAGAAAGCAAUUUCUGGAGUUAAUAAGCAUGUUUAAAUAUGAUC